rnacentral:lncRNA from 1 species
GCAGGCUCCCAGCGGAGGAGCCUGAUGUGGGGCUCGAUCCCAGAACGCCGGGAUCACGCCCUGAGCCGAAGACAGACGCCCAACGACUGCGCCACCCAGGCGCCCCUGGAUUUUUUAUCUUAAUUUCAUAAUUUAUCUGUACUACAGAUGCUGUUUGUGCGCAGGGCCAGCUUGUGGAGAGACUCCCAGAGGCAUCUUCCUGCUCCCAGAGCUAAGAGCCUAGCACCGUACCUGGUUUCCAGCACUCAGUAAAAUGUAGAAUGAAGAAAUGGAUGACUCAUCAAAUGCCAGUAUUCCUCAGUCAUUGUGUGAACUCGGAGACCUGAGCAAACCAGAGCUAGUACGUUGGACUUGAUGGAGUGAUGCCAGCUUUACUCAAGAGGAGCAACUCAAGUCGGAAUAUGGGCUGGCCUGUGUCAUUACAACCUCGUGAGUAGUUUUCAUUCCUGCCUCUUACUCUGGCUCUCC